rnacentral:rRNA from 1 species
GUUAAGCAACGUCGGGCGCGGUUAGUACUUGCAUGGGUGACCGGCUGGGAAUACCGCGUGCCCAAGCCG